GCCAGGCCCAGGGUCUCUCUCUUCCUGCUGCCUACUGAUCUGGAUGCAGAACUCUCGGCGACCUCUCCAGCACCACGCCUGCCUGUGUGCAGCCAUGCUUUCCACCAUAUAAUGGACCAAACUUCUGAAACUGUGUCUCCAGGCUUCUUUACCACUGAAAGCUGUGUGCCCAUUGCUUCCCACACAUGUCUCAGCCUUCUCUCUCUGGGAGCAGUAGGACCCUUACACCUCAUGGCUUUCCCCUGUUGGUCUCAGGUUGACUGGCACUCCCCAGAAGGCCUCCCUGGCCCCGGCCCAAGUCAGGAGCCUCCUGCAAUCACUUCAUGGCUUGCCUUCAUCUUCAUACAAAAUGUCAAGGACUUAUUUGAUAGGGAGG
rnacentral:lncRNA from 1 species